CCUACGGGGUGCAGCAGUGAGGAAUAUUGGUCAAUGGCCGGAAGGCUGAACCAGCCAUGCCUCGUGAAGGUCAGUGCCCUAUGGGCGUUAAACUUCUUUUGUGCGGGAGCAAUAAUGGUCACGUGUGGCCAGACGAGAGUACCGUACGAAUAAGCAUCGGCUAACUCCGUGCCAGCAGCCGCGGUAAUACGGGGGAUGCAAGCGUUAUCCGGAUUUAUUGGGUUUAAAGGGUGCGUAGGCUGUGAGGUAAGUCAGCGGUGAAAUGCCCCCGCUCAACGGGGUGAAGUGCCAUUGAUACUGCCUGGCUGGAAUGCGGAUGCCGUGGGAGGAAUGUGUGGUGUAGCGGUGAAAUGCAUAGAUAUCACACAGAACACCGAUUGCGAAGGCAUCUCACGAAUCCGCGAUUGACGCUGAUGCACGAAAGCGUGGGUAUCAAACAGGAUUAGAUACCCCUGUAGUC
rnacentral:rRNA from 1 species